UUUAAAUGCAGUUGUGGAUUUUCGUAUUCAAUGUUUGACCAUCCGUUUUAUUUUUUUAUAAUUAGUAUUUUAAUAAUACAUUAUGGUAUUAGUAAAAAAUACAUUACACUCGAGUUAUUUUUUUUAAUUUUUUUUCAUAAAUUUGUUAAAUAAAACGAGCAAUCAAAUAUUGGACACGAAAACUUGUAACUACACUUACA
rfam:Oryza rufipogon genomic scaffold, chr10